rnacentral:rRNA from 1 species
UACGGGGGGGGCAAGCGUUGUUCGGAAUUACUGGGCGUAAAGCGUGCGCAGGCGGCUUUGCAAGACAGAUGUGAAAUCCCCGGGCUUAACCUGGGAACUGCAUUUGUGACUGCAUGACUGGAGUGCGGCAGAGGGGGAUGGAAUUCCGCGUGUAGCAGUGAAAUGCGUAGAUAUGCGGAGGAACACCGAUGGCGAAGGCAAUCCCCUGGGCCUGCACUGACGCUCAUGCACGAAAGCGUGGGGAGCAAACAGG